rnacentral:rRNA from 1 species
UGGGGAAUAUUGCACAAUGGAGGGAACUCUGAUGCAGCGACGCCGCGUGAGUGAUGAAGGACUUCGUUUCGUAAAACUCUGUUCUAUGGGAAGAAAAGGACUGUACCAUAGGAGAAAGCUCCGGCUAAAUACGUGCCAGCAGCCGCGGUAAUACGUAUGGAGCGAGCGUUGUCCGGAAUUAUUGGGCGUAAAGGGUGCGCAGGCGGCUUUACAAGUUGGAUGUGAAAUAUUGUGGCUCAACCACAAACGUGCAUCCAAAACUGCAAAGCUUGAGUUAAGGAGAGGUAAGUGGAAUUCCUGGUGUAGCGGUGGAAUGCGUAGAUAUCAGGAGGAAGACCGGUGGCGAAGGCGACUUACUGGACUUAAACUGACGCUCAGGCACGAAAGCGUGGGGAGCAAACAGG